UCUGUUUGUAGCUCAGUGGUAGAGCAUCUGUGCCCCAGGAAAGUAGACAAUAUUUGGGGUGUUUUAAAUUAGGGAAGGGACGCGGGUGGCGCUGUGGGUUAAACCACAGAGCCUAGGACUCAGAAGGUCGGCGGUUCGAAUCCCUGCGACGGGG